CCUUGACCCUCCAUCAAACACCUACUGUGAUUUUUAAGCUACUGACAGUCACAAAUGUCUGACAAAAAUCCACAUCAUGCUUCCCACCAACCCCGGAUCAGGAGGAAGGACUCAGUUUUGUGCUACGCCAAUGGACAACACUAUAUAAAGGAUCUGAUAAACCGUCUACCAAACAGGGGCUGAAGGGAAAGCCAAAUAUGCAACUUACAUCAGUUAACGCUGAUACUAUAAACAUAAUUGACACAUAUGACAGACCAGCACGUGCCACUGCAAAAAGCACUUAUGCUCAAGCUGGAAAAUAUGCAGAAGGUCCUAAUGACAAACCAGGACAAAGGAUUCCCAAAGCUGGAGUCUAUGCAGUAGCAGGAGUUGAACGAGCUCGAGCUUUAUUUUAGAUCACCAACUUGCUUACUGUUAACUAACCUCAUAAAAUGUUAUAUAUUACUGCCUUAUGGAUAUUACCUUGAUUAAUCCUACAGAAA